UGUUCAAUUAUCUUUUCAGCGCAUUUUUCCCCCUUUAGUCACAGUCCCUACCUGAAGUUUCUCUUUUCCUUUUCUAGUUUGCUACCAGAUCUGCAGCUGUGCCUGCAAAAUCACGCCCUUGAUUGUUGGCAUACGGUUUAAUUACCUCCCACUUAAAUGGAAAGGGUAAACUAGGCCAGGGACGCAUCUGAGAUGAUUAAUUCCCAUUUUUUCCCAGCCUCGGCUUCCAACCAGGACCGCCAGGCUGAUCACUUUGUCAAUACUUCUGAAUUCCCUCUAAUCAUGGGCCAGUUUCCCAGGGAGCCCGGUUGUGCUGGAACUUUGUGCAGGGGAGGGAAACUGGAGAUUUGGGGCUGGCAGAGAGAUGACACCCUCGAAGGGCCGUGUCCGUGAUGUUGCGUGUAUCAGAACCCCCCCUUUUAUUUACUGUCCUUUCAGUACCCAAUCUUCCCUUAUAGAAUCCUCUUUAGGAUAAAAACUUGGCUGCAGAACAGAGACACCGGAAAUACCCACAAGCUUCAAUUUAUUUCCCUCUCUAAUAACAGUCAGGAUGGGUGGUCCAGGACGUGGGUAACCCAGCUCUGGGAUAGCCCGGCCCCGGCCACAGCUCUGCCAGCCUCUCCUCAUGGCUCUUUGGCUCUAAAACGGCUGCUCCAGCUUCCACCAGCACGUCCUCUUUCCCCUGUGUGGACACGGGGAACGUGGAAGGAGAAGGCAAGUUCCUUCCUUCCAAGGGCACAGUGCAGAGCUGCUCCCCUGCUUCCAUCCUAUGGACCAAAAACUCACACGGCCAGGGCUGCGAGAGAGUCCAGGCAAUGUGCUGAGCUGCCGGUCAUGGGCUCCGCUAAGACGGCGGGUUCGGUUAGGGGGGCAGCAAGAGCAGGAGCGCCCUGUGGGGAAGAGUCGUCCCGCCACCCCUACAGAGUGGACUUGAGUGGGAGCAUGUGGAGCUGCCACUGAAGAAAAGGGCAUGUUCUCUGUGGCAGGUUGGGCUCCCAGGGUGACAGUCUCUGAGAGAGAGAUCUGUGUGCGGGAGGUUGAUGCGAGAGUGCCCCAGGGGAGCAACCCCCCGGGAGGGCCUCCAGGACUGGGGGAAGCAGCAGUGGGCCUCGGGAGAAAGUGAACUGCCGCAGGCACGGUUGCAAGAAGGCCUCCAGGGGUACCAGGCUGGGCAGCAGGUGGUGGAGGGAGCCCUGGGGCU
rnacentral:lncRNA from 1 species